rnacentral:rRNA from 1 species
CCUACGGGGGGCAGCAGUGGGGAAUAUUGGGCAAUGGACGAAACCCUGACCCAGCAAUGCCGCGUGAAUGAUGAAGGUCUUCGGAUUGUAAAGUUCUGUGCUGGGGGAUGAACACAAUGACGGUACCAUAAUAGCAAGCCACGGCUAACUACGUGCCAGCAGCCGCGGUAAUACGUAGGUGGCAAGCGUUAUCCGGAAUGACUGGGCGUAAAGGGAGCGUAGGUGGUUUAGUAAGUUGGCGGUGAAAUUCCGGGGCUUAACCUCGGCGCUGCAGCGGAAACUAUUAGACUAGAGUGCAGGAGAGGUAAGUGGAAUUCCUAGUGUAGCGGUGGAAUGCAUAGAUAUUAGGAGGAACACCAGGGGCGAAGGCGACUUGCUGGACUGUAACUGACGCUGAGGCACGAAAGCGUGGGGAGCAAACAGGAUUAGAUACCCGUGUAGUC